AGCGAACCGUUGGGGUGCCUCCUGGAGGCUGAGAGGCGUGCAUGCGCUAACCCAUCGAACCUGAUCCGGGCAAUACCGGCGUAGGGAACGGUCUACUGAUGUGC
rnacentral:ncRNA from 2 species